CACAAAUAUGAAGGCGGGCUAGAACCUCUCGGGGUUACAGCCUUGCUGAAUUAUUCACCCUUGUCUUUUGCGUACUUCUUGUUUCCUUGGUGGGUUCGCCCACCACUAGGACAAACAUAAACCUUUUGUAAUUGCAAUCAGCGUCAGUAACAAAUUAAUAAUUA
rnacentral:misc_RNA from 1 species